AGUUUGAUCAUGGCUCAGAUUGAACGCUGGCGGCAGGCCUAACACAUGCAAGUCGAGCGGUAGAGAGAAGCUUGCUUCUCUUGAGAGCGGCGGACGGGUGAGUAAUGCCUAGGAAUCUGCCUGGUAGUGGGGGAUAACGUUCGGAAACGGACGCUAAUACCGCAUACGUCCUACGGGAGAAAGCAGGGGACCUUCGGGCCUUGCGCUAUCAGAUGAGCCUAGGUCGGAUUAGCUAGUUGGUGAGGUAAUGGCUCACCAAGGCGACGAUCCGUAACUGGUCUGAGAGGAUGAUCAGUCACACUGGAACUGAGACACGGUCCAGACUCCUACGGGAGGCAGCAGUGGGGAAUAUUGGACAAUGGGCGAAAGCCUGAUCCAGCCAUGCCGCGUGUGUGAAGAAGGUCUUCGGAUUGUAAAGCACUUUAAGUUGGGAGGAAGGGCAGUUACCUAAUACGUGAUUGUUUUGACGUUACCGACAGAAUAAGCACCGGCUAACUCUGUGCCAGCA
rnacentral:rRNA from 1 species